AGUGAACGCUGGCGGCAGGCCUAACACAUGCAAGUCGAACGGCAGCACAAGAGAGCUUGCUCUCUGGGUGGCGAGUGGCGGACGGGUGAGGAAUGCAUCGGAAUCUGCCCAUUUGUGGGGGAUAACCUCGGGAAACCGGGACUAAUACCGCAUACGACCUACGGGUGAAAGCAGGGGAUCUUCGGACCUUGCGCAGAUGGAUGAGCCGAUGCCGGAUUAGCUAGUUGGAGGGGUAAAGGCCCACCAAGGCGACGAUCCGUAGCUGGUCUGAGAGGAUGAUCAGCCACACUGGGACUGAGACACGGCCCAGACUCCUACGGGAGGCAGCAGAGGGGAAUAUUGGACAAUGGGCGCAAGCCUGAUCCAGCCAUGCCGCGUGUGUGAAGAAGGCCUUCGGGUUGUAAAGCACUUUUGUUGGGAAAGAAAAGCAGCCGGUUAAUACCCGGUUGUCAUGACGGUACCCAAAGAAUAAGCACCGGCUAACUUCGUG
rnacentral:rRNA from 1 species